GUUUCAAUCAGCCGAUUGAACGCUACACCAAGCUCCGCUUGGUAUUUGUCCCUCGGACUAUAUAUUUCUAUAAGCGACCCUACUAUCGUCAAAUCAAUUAGUACAUCUCUUCGAAGGUAUUUAAUCCGAUACAACUUUGUACUUGCUUCUUUUGCCAUUGCCACGUAAAUCGGGCACAAUAUUGGCAUACAUUAUCGUGUUUGUGUGUAGGCCGUUAAACAAUGGCCCCUACCUCGGGAAGAAGACUUUAAUCAAGCACUACCUGGAAAAGAAAACACACUACCUUGAAGAGCGAAACUGGCUUACAACCGUAUCCUGAUGCAUCAGUAGAAUGAAUUAGACAAGACAGCCCUACAGAGACGAGACAGCCCAACAAGGGAGCCCUAGACUUCCCAUAACUGCCGGCGACGACAAAUUCUGCAGGGAUUGGGGACCUCCUUUAGGAACUGUGACGGAAAGACUAGCUGAGUAAAUUUUUAUCUUUAUAACUUUUGUACCGAUUACCAGCAGGGUCUCGGUUACGGGCUCAGAAAAUUAACUUGGUUGUCUGUAUACAAUAAAAUGAUUUUUGUUAAGUUUUUUUAUAUCUGAAUAAAUAGUAUAUUUAAAAUGA